CCAUCAGACCCUUGCUUUGGUUCCGCCAUUCUUGCGCGGAUUAAAAGGGAACACGGUGUGGAUUACCCAUCAGGGGCCGAUUCCGUGGCUGCCCUCGCAACUGUAAGCGGCGAGCUUUUCGCAUCAUGCCACUGAGCCCUUCGGGCUUGGGAAGGCCGCGAAAAGCGUAUUGAGCCGCGAGCCAGGAGACCUGCCCAAGCAAAAGACCAUGA
rnacentral:ncRNA from 2 species